CCCACUGUGUCACUUAUAACUAUUAUUCUUCUCAAUAGUAAUUAUUACUACUUUCUCAUUAUUUUAAUUUUUGAAUGUCUUUUAUUUACGGUUCCCUUUAAAAAUUAUUUGCACUGGCUGUUUUAAUUCUUAUUUUUAGUAUUUCAUUUUGUUUUAAAUAAGAGGGAUAAUUUGAAAAUCAAUAAGGCAACAAACUGCUCUGUCCAUCACGUAAUUUCUGAUAUAAGAUAGGCACUGCCUACUUUUUAAAAUUCAGAUAAUCAGCAGUACAAAGAGAACACUGUCUGGUAU
rnacentral:lncRNA from 1 species